CGCAUCACUGGUGUUCGGGUUGUCAUGCCAAUGGCACUGCCCGGUAGCUAAAUGCGGAAGAGAUAAGUGCUGAAAGCAUCUAAGCACGAAACUUGCCCCGAGAUGAGUUCUCCCUGACCCUUUAAGGGUCCUGAAGGAACGUUGAAGACGACGACGUUGAUAGGCCGGGUGUGUAAGCGCAGCGAUGCGUUGAGCUAACCGGUACUAAUGAACCGUGAGGCUUAACCUUACAACGCCGAAG
rnacentral:rRNA from 1 species